rnacentral:rRNA from 1 species
GACGAACGCUGGCGGCGUGCUUAACACAUGCAAGUCGAACGCUGAAGCUCAGCUUUUGUUGGGUGGAUGAGUGGCGAACGGGUGAGUAACACGUGAGUAACCUGCCUCCUUCUUUGGGAUAACGCCCGGAAACGGGUGCUAAUACUGGAUAUUCACUGGUCUUCGCAUGGGGGUUGGUGGAAAGGGUUUUUCUGGUGGGGGAUGGGCUCGCGGCCUAUCAGCUUGUUGGUGGGGUGAUGGCCUACCAAGGCUUUGACGGGUAGCCGGCCUGAGAGGGUGACCGGUCACAUUGGGACUGAGAUACGGCCCAGACUCCUACGGGAGGCAGAAGUGGGGAAUAUUGCACAAUGGGCGCAAGCCUGAUGCAGCGACGCCGCGUGAGGGAUGGAGGCCUUCGGGUUGUGAACCUCUUUCGCUCAUGGUCAAGCCGCAACAAUGGUUGUGGUGAGGGUAGUGGGUAAAGAAGCGCCGGCUAACUACGUG